CAACUCCAGCAGAUGAACAGUGAAAGAGGGAAGAGCCACUUAUCAUCCUGACUCCAUGCCCUCCAUACACUGAGAGUGGAAGCUACAGCACCAGUGUUUCCUGUAAUUUCACAAUGAAGGUUACCAUCACCAGAGACCCCACUCCAUUAUUCCACCUGCUGGAGACAGCAAUAAUUACAUAUAUGUGGGGUGGGACCUGGACAUGCAUGGUGGAAGAAGAAAGUCCUGCAGCUCCCACAACCAAUGAGUGUACUGCAUUGUCUAAUGCACCAAAUCUCCUCCUACCAGCAUAUAAAGGAUGAUAAUAACAACACUGUUAUAAUGACAAUAAAACCUUUGAAUCUUAAA